GAGUUUGAUCAUGGCUCAGAGCGAACGCUGGCGGCAGGCCUAAUACAUGCAAGUCGAACGCACCUUCGGGUGAGCGGCGGACGGGUGAGUAACGCGUGGGAACGUGCCCUUUGGUACGGGAUAACUGAGGGAAACUUCAGCUAAUACCGUAUGUGCCCUAUGGGGAAAGAUUUAUCGCCAUUGGAGCGGCCCGCGUUGGAUUAGGUAGUUGGUGAGGUAAAGGCUCACCAAGCCUACGAUCCAUAGCUGGUCUGAGAGGAUGAUCAGCCACACUGGGACUGAGACACGGCCCAGACUCCUACGGGAGGCAGCAGUAGGGAAUCUUGCGCAAUGGGCGAAAGCCUGACGCAGCCAUGCCGCGUGAAUGAUGAAGGUCUUAGGAUUGUAAAAUUCUUUCACCGGGGAAGAUAAUGACGGUACCCGGAGAAGAAGCCCCGGCUAACUUCGUGCCAGCCGCCGCGGUAAC
rnacentral:rRNA from 2 species